rnacentral:rRNA from 1 species
AGAGCGAACGCUGGCGGCAGGCCUAACACAUGCAAGUCGAGCGCCCGUAGCAAUACGGGAGCGGCAGACGGGAUAGUAACACGUGGGAACGCGCCCUUCGGUUCGGAAUAACUCAGGGAAACUUGAGCUAAUACCGGAUACGCCCUUACGGGGAAAGAUUUAUUGCCGAAGGAACGGCCCGCGUCCGAUUAGCUAGUUGGUGAGGUAAUGGCUCACCAAGGCGACGAUCGGUAGCUGGUCUGAGAGGAUGACCAGCAUCACUGGGACUGAGACACGGCCCAGACUCCUACGGGAGGCAGCAGUGGGGAAUAUUGGACAAUGGGCGCAAGCCUGAUCCAGCCAUGCCGCGUGGAUGAUGAAGGCCUUAGGGUUGUAAAGUCCUUUUAACGGGGAGAUAAUGACGGUACCCGUAGAAUAAGCCCCGGCUAACUUCGCGCCAGCAGCCGC